UAAAUGAGAUAAUAUAUGUUAUUAUUCCCAUUUUAUCAAGGAGGAAACAGGCCCAGAGAAGGGAAGCGACUUGGUUGCAGAUGGCACAGCUGGUGGGUGGCAGCCAGUACCCUUCCUGCCCAGAAGAUGCCAGGAAAAUCUGUGCCCGGGAAGGGCGGUCUGGCACCUGAGGGCCCCGCCUGACCAGCCCUUCUCAGCAGCAGGAGCUGGGUGGGAGUCACUUUAUGCCAGAGACGCCCCAGCAGUGCCAUCCACCUCCUGGGCUGAGGAGUACCCCCAAGAGGCUCUGCCCGGGCACCAUGCCCAGGGCCCAGCCUAGUAGCAGGAGCAGCCCCUGCCUGGGCCUCAGAGAAGCCACAAUCUCCUCUAACUAUCCCUGGGAAGCCAUGUUGCCUUACAUCCCCCAGAGAAUGGGGACCCCUUCGCUCUUGGUGUCUAACCAUCGUUCCACACGUUGUCUUCAAAGCCCAACCACUUCCCAAAAAGCAAGGUCAACAGCUGACUGCAUGCCACAGCACCCCAGUGGUGCCUGCUUUGAGGUGGGACCUGGCUGGGGGGGACCCUGCCGAGUAGAAACAGGCCUUCGUCACUGGGUCAGGCUCUGUUCUGAGGUCGUCCACGUACCUUGCUGAAUGGUCACCACAUUCCUGCAGUGUGGAGUCAGUGUUACAGAUUGGAAAACUGAGACACCGAGCGUUGAAGUGACUCAUCUGUGGACACACUGCGAGAAAAAGAGCUGGGAUUCAAGCCCGUAGCUUGGCUGCAGAGCCCGAUCCCUUAAAUGUUCUUCCAUAGUGCCUCUGAUUCCUAGGGGGCCUCCACUGGAGGUCAUUGCAUUCAAUCCCCUGCAUCUGGGUGUCCACCCAGGCCCACCUCUGCUCACAGAUAAGAAUCAAUCAAGCUUUUAUUUAUUUAUUUAUUUUAAUUUUUUUUUAUUUUUUG